UACGAAGGGGGCUAGCGUUGUUCGGAAUUACUGGGCGUAAAGCGCACGUAGGCGGAUAUUUAAGUCAGGGGUGAAAUCCCAGAGCUCAACUCUGGAACUGCCUUUGAUACUGGGUAUCUCGAGUAUGGAAGAGGUGAGUGGAAUUCCGAGUGUAGAGGUGAAAUUCGUAGAUAUUCGGAGGAACGCCAGUGGCGAAGGCGGCUCACUGGUCCAUUACUGACGCUGAGGUGCGAAAGCGUGGGGAGCAAACAGG
rnacentral:rRNA from 1 species